rnacentral:rRNA from 1 species
CAGUCGCCGCGGUAAUACGUAGGGUGCAAGCGUUAAUCGGAAUUACUGGGCGUAAAGCGUGCGCAGGCGGUUUCGUAAGACAGAUGUGAAAUCCCCGGGCUUAACCUGGGAACUGCAUUUGUGACUGCGAGGCUAGAGUGUGUCAGAGGGGGGUGGAAUUCCACGUGUAGCAGUGAAAUGCGUAGAUAUGUGGAGGAACACCGAUGGCGAAGGCAGCCCCCUGGGAUAACACUGACGCUCAUGCACGAAAGCGUGGGGAGCAAACAGGAUUAGAUACCCGUGUAGUCCCUGUCUCUUAUAC